rnacentral:rRNA from 1 species
CCUACGGGGUGCAGCAGUGAGGUAUAUUGGUCAAUGGACGAGAGUCUGAACCAGCCAAGUAGCGUGAAGGAUGACUGCCCUAUGGGUUGUAAACUUCUUUUAUAUGGGAAUAAAACGUUCCACGUGUGGGAUUUUGUAUGUACCAUAUGAAUAAGGAUCGGCUAACUCCGUGCCAGCAGCCGCGGUAAUACGGAGGAUCCGAGCGUUAUCCGGAUUUAUUGGGUUUAAAGGGAGCGUAGGUGGAUUGUUAAGUCAGUUGUGAAAGUUUGCGGCUCAACCGUAAAAUUGCAGUUGAAACUGGCAGUCUUGAGUACAGUAGAGGUGGGCGGAAUUCGUGGUGUAGCGGUGAAAUGCUUUGAUAUCACGAAGAACUCCGAUUGCGAAGGCAGUUCACUGGACUGCAACUGACACUGAGGCUCGAAAGUGUGGGUAUCAAACAGGAUUAGAUACCCCGGUAGUC